CCUUACCUCUUCCUCUUUUCCUCCCACUCUCCCUCUCUUUUGAUCUCCCUCUCCCCCACCUCCUCCUGGACUCCUCUUCUCUCUCCUCUAUCUCUUCUCUCCCUCUCCUAUCUCCCCCUCCCUCUCACCUUCCCCAGUAUCUCCUCCUGUCUCUUUCUCUCUGACAUAGGAGACAGUAGCCAACUUCAACUGAAGAAGAGAGCCCUUGAUCCAGGUCAGCCACAUUGGCCCUUGAUUUCAAACAUUCAUCUGAAGAACUGUAAGAAAUGAACUUGAUUUGUAAAGGCAGAAACUGGGAGGUCUGCCUUUUUCUGAAAAGAAAUGGAGGAACAAUGGAUCUGAGAGAGAAGUGACAUGAAGGGCAGGGACAUUGAACAUGGAUUUAAUGAAGACAUAUUCUUGUCUUUCUGCUGACGAGGGCAACGGAAUGAAACUUUAAG
rnacentral:lncRNA from 1 species